rnacentral:rRNA from 1 species
UACGUAGGGGCCUAGCGUUGUCCGGAAUCAUUGGGCGUAAAGAGCUCGUAGGCGGUUCGGCAAGUCACGUGUGAAAUCUCCACGCUUAACGUGGAGGCGCCACGUGAAACUGCCGUGACUCGAGUCCGGUAGGGGAGUGUGGAAUUCCCGGUGUAGCGGUGAAAUGCGCAGAUAUCGGGAGGAACACCAGUAGCGAAGGCGGCACUCUGGGCCGGUACUGACGCUGAGGAGCGAAAGCGUGGGAGCGAACAGG